AUGAACGCUGGCGGCGUGCCUAAUCCAUGCCAGUCGAGCGCACGGACGAGAAGCUUGCUUUUCUGAUGUUAGCGGCGGACGGGUGAGUAACACGUGGAUAACCUACCUAUAAGACUGGGAUAACUUCGGGAAACCGGAGCUAAUACCGGAUAAUAUUUUGAACCGCAUGGUUCAAAAGUGAAAGACGGUCUUGCUGUCACUUAUAGAUGGAUCCGCGCUGCAUUAGCUAGUUGGUAAGGUAACGGCUUACCAAGGCAACGAUGCAUAGCCGACCUGAGAGGGUGAUCGGCCACACUGGAACUGAGACACGGUCCAGACUCCUACGGGAGGCAGCAGUAGGGAAUCUUCCGCAAUGGGCGAAAGCCUGACGGAGCAACGCCGCGUGAGUGAUGAAGGUCUUCGGAUCGUAAAACUCUGUUAUUAGGGAAGAACACAUGUGUAAGUAACUGUGCACAUCUUGACGGUACCUAAUCAGAAAGCCACGGCUAACUACGUG
rnacentral:rRNA from 1 species